GGGAAGGUGGCUCAGUGGUAGAGUGCUUGCCUUGUAUGCAUGAGCCUCCGGUUCCAUUCCU
rnacentral:tRNA from 1 species